rnacentral:rRNA from 1 species
UUCUCAGAGCAUACUUUUCCAUUUCCUGACCUCAAGCAAAUAUACACUCUGAUCUCGGAAGCUAAGCAGAGUCUGGCCUGGUUAGUACUUAGAUGGGAGACCACCUAAGAAGACCAGGUGCCUUAGGCA